rnacentral:rRNA from 1 species
CUAUUGGUUGUGCUGGGGAAAGGUUGUAGGCAUGUGUCUUAGGCAAAUCCGGGACACUCUAUGCUGAGAAUACGAACCUGUACUUGUACGGGGAAGUGAUAGAUGCCAUGCUUCCAAGAAAAGCUCCUAAGCUUCAGUCAGUAAGGGAUCGUACCCGAAACCGACACAGGUGGUCAGGUCGAGAAGACCAAGGCGCUUGAGAGAACUCUGGUGAAGGAACUAGGCAAAAUAGUACCGUAACUUCGGGAGAAGGUACGCUGUUGAGGGUUAAGGAUUUACUCCGUAAGCCUUCGGCAGCCUCAGAAACUAGGCCGCUGCAACUGUUUAUUAAAAACAUAGCACUCUGCAAACACGAAAGUGGACGUAUAGGGUGUGAUGCCUGCCCGGUGCUGGAAGGUUAAUUGAUGGGGUUAGCUAACGCGAAGCUCUUGAUCGAAGCCCCAGUAAACGGCGGCCGUAACUAUAACGGUCCUAAGGUAGCGAAAUUCCUUGUCGGGUAAGUUCCGACCUGCACGAAUGGCAUAAUGAUGGCGGCGCUGUCUCCACCAGAGACUCAGUGAAAUCGAAAUCGCGGUGAAGAUGCCGUGUACCCGCGGCUAGACGGAAAGACCCCGUGAACCUUUACUGCAGCUUUGCACUGAACUUUGAUCUUACCUGUGUAGGAUAGGUGGGAGGCUUUGAAGCUCGGACGCUAGUUCGAGUGGAGCCAUCCUUGAAAUACCACCCUGGUAAUAUUGAGGUUCUAACCCAGGUCCGUUAUCCGGAUCGGGGACAGUGUUGUGGGUAGUUUGACUGGGGCGGUCUCCUCCUAAAGAGUAACGGAGGAGUACGAAGGUGCGCUCAGCGUGGUCGGAAAUCACGCGUAGAGUAUAAAGGCAAAAGCGCGCUUAACUGCGAGACCGACAAGUCGAGCAGGUACGAAAGUAGGUCUUAGUGAUCCGGUGGUUCUGUAUGGAAGGGCCAUCGCUCAACGGAUAAAAGGUACUCUGGGGAUAACAGGCUGAUACCGCCCAAGAGUUCAUAUCGACGGCGGUGUUUGGCACCUCGAUGUCGGCUCAUCUCAUCCUGGGGCUGAAGCAGGUCCCAAGGGUAUGGCGUUCGCCAUUUAAAGAGGUACGCGAGCUGGGUUUAGAACGUCGUGAGACAGUUCGGUCCCUAUCUACCGUGGGCGUUGGAGACUUGAGAGGAUCUGCUUCUAGUACGAGAGGACCGAAGUGGACGAACCUCUGGUGUUCCGGUUGUCACGCCAGUGGCACUGCCGGGUAGCUAUGUUCGGAAGGGAUAACCGCUGAAAGCAUCUAAGCGGGAAGCCUACCUCAAGAUAAGGUCUCCCUGAGGGUUUAACCCUCCUAAAGAGCCGUUAGAGACCAUGACGUUGAUAGGUUCGGUGUGGAAGUGCAGCGAUGCAUGAAGCUAACGAAUACUAAUUGCUCGUGAGGC